rnacentral:rRNA from 1 species
GUGGGGAAUAUUGGACAAUGGGCGAAAGCCUGAUCCAGCCAUGCCGCGUGUGUGAAGAAGGUCUUCGGAUUGUAAAGCACUUUAAGUUGGGAGGAAGGGCAGUAAGUUAAUACCUUGCUGUUUUGACGUUACCGACAGAAUAAGCACCGGCUAACUUCGUGCCAGCAGCCGCGGUAAUACGAAGGGUGCAAGCGUUAAUCGGAAUUACUGGGCGUAAAGCGCGCGUAGGUGGUUUUGUAAGUUGGAGGUGAAAUCCCCGCGCUCAACCUGGGAACUGCCUCCAAAACUGCAUGACUAGAGUACGGUAGAGGGUAGUGGAAUUUCCUGUGUAGCGGUGAAAUGCGUAGAUAUAGGAAGGAACACCAGUGGCGAAGGCGACUACCUGGACUGAUACUGACACUGAGGUGCGAAAGCGUGGGGAGCAAACAGGAUUAGAUACCCGGGUAGUCC